GAAAUAGUCCAAGAUGGCGUCGAUUGCUACGAGGCCUCUGAGAGAAUAUUUUAUUUUCCCGAAUCCUUCCAACAUGAAGUAUUUACCGAGCCAACGACUUCUCUGAAGAUAUAUUUGUAGUUCAUUGUGACAAAGAAAAUUCUAAUUCAUCAUGAUGGAAAAGAAGGUUAAGCUGAGGACAGUGAACUCUUGUAUCACAUGUAUACUGUGUAGAGGAUAUCUCAUCGAGGCCACAACCACAACUGAAUGUUUACAUACGUUCUGUAAGAGCUGCCUUGUACGGUACUUAGAGGACCACAAUUCCUGUCCAAAAUGCCAAACACUCAUUCACCAAAGCCACCCCAUGAACUAUAUCAGCCAUGACCGGACUAUGCAGGACAUAGUAUACAAAUUGGUGCCAAAUCUUCAACAAAAGGAAUUAAGACGCCAGCAAGAAUUCUUCAGGAAGCAUGCCUCGCAGGGAAUUAAACCAGAAUUAGAAGAUGUGAAUGAUAACCACACAGAGAAUGUUGUGUCAGUGAAGGAAGAGAACAAAGACUUCCAUCGUCAUGACGAGCAGCUGAAUGUGUGCUUAGAGUGUCAAGGAACUAUGAAAAACUUAAAAAGGAAAUUCUUACGAAUCUCGUCACAAGCCACUGUCAGUCACCUAAAGAAGUUUGUGGCUCUAAAGCUGUACAGUGAUCAAACGAAAUAUACCAAUAUUGAAAUUUUGUGCAAUGAUGAACUACUAGGCAAACAUCAUACUCUAAAGUUUGUGGCAGUCACAAGAUGGAGGGUCAAGGAUGGUCCAUUACUGCUUCACUAUCGACAGAAAACAUUGGACUUUUAAUAAAAAAAAAGUGCUAAUUUCCCAUAAUCCUGUCUUGUGCAGAUGUCAUAAGUACGCUGUUCUUCCCGCAGAAAUUAAACAUCGGAUGUCUGAAGUGUGCAGCUCUUUCUGCAGAAAGUUAAUAUCAGAUGUCUGGAUUGCUCCAUUGUCUCUGUGAAAAGUUAAACAUCAUAUCUCUCAAAGCUCUGUUCUUCUGAAGGGUACAGUUCUCUACAUUGGAUGUUUAAAGAGUGGUGUUCUCUCUGCAGAAAGUAAACAUUGGAUGUCUGCAAUAACAUUAUUCUCUCUGUGGAAUCACUGAUCUGUCAUAACCAUUGAGCACCACAACAAUGAACCACACUCUGACAUAUACCUGCUGUACCAUAUCAAAACAGUUGCAUUGUUGGUUGGUAUUAUGGCCGACUCUCCUGCAAAUUUUACCCUCUAAAUUGAGUGGGACCAGUUCUAUUUGAUGCACAUCUGUAUUUUAAUCUACUAAUCGUGUCUAUGAUAGAAUCAAAGGAUGGACCAAUAUAUAACCGCUAUGGGAAGGGCCUGUGUUUUGCAGGUCUACAUAUAAUGUGUAUAGACCAGCACUAGUCUAUCUAUGAUACUGAAGCUCUUCAAACUGUUAGUACUAAAUGUAUAUAGACUAGCACUAGUCUAUCUAUGAUACUGAAGCUCUUCAAAUUGUUAGUACUAAAUGACUGUUACAGAAUCCUCCUUCAGCCGAUGGUCAAUUGGUGACCAGCUGUAGACGUGAACAUUUAUUAAAUAAACUGCAAGAGUCACGAUGCUGAAACUAGAAAUUUGUUAUUUUAUUCAUGAGAAUGAUGAAUAUUUCUUUAAUUCUGGUCACCAAGCUGUAAUUUGAGUUUAGAAGUCAUUCUGGUGUUAACUUUAAAGAAAGUCUUAAGACAUUAAAGUUUGUUUCCUCUAUAUAAUACUACAGGUAUUAUUUACAAUGCUUCCCGACUUUAAUGGUGCAUACUAUUUGCUGGACAACAAGGAAUAUCUUCUAUCUGUUUAUUUUGUUAUAGAUUUUACAAAAAAGGAUUGAUACCAGGAUUAUAUCAUGUGUCACUAGCUUGCUGACAUGUGUAGUUAAAAUUCAUAACAUUUUCCUAUUUAUAGAAAAAAAAAGAUAAAUAUGACUGUCUGUCAUUUGAUAUACAUGUACUGGUAAAUGAUCCCAACAAGUAAUAAACUAUUUUCUUACAUAUUAUUGAGUUUGAUACAGUCUAUUCCAGUUGAAUAACUACACAAAUUAUGAACUUAGCAUGCAGAUUACAUGUUAACAUCACAGUAAUAAUCAAUGCUGUAAAUUAUGGUUGAUUUAAAAACUGAGUAUUUGAAAUUUGACAGUUGUUGGUUUGCAUUUCAUUACAUAAAUAGAACUAGAAAUACUAUAUCUCAUUUACCUAUAAUAUGAUGUUGAGUUAAAGUUCCAGAGUUUAUGGUAUAUAUAUCAACUGAUUUUAGUGAUUUCUUUCACGGAACGUAUUGGAGACAGUUUAGAUUGGCGAGAGUUGACAUGUAGGUAAUAUCUACAAGUACCCUUUGUGUGUAUCUCUGGAGACAGGUAACUUGUGUGUAUGUUUUUAAAUCUGGAUACGUACGUGUACUUGUAUUGUUUGUGUGUGUCUGAAUACAUUGUUUAUGUGUGACUGUGUAUCUGGGUACAUUGUUUAUGUGUGACCGUGUCUCUGGGUACAUUGUUCAUGUGUUACUGUCUGGGUUCAUUGUUUAUGUGUGACUGUGUCUCUGGGUAAAUUGUUCAUGUGUGACUAUGUAUCUGGGGACAUUGUUCAUGUGUGACUGUCUGGGUUCAUUGUUUAUGUGUGA
rnacentral:misc_RNA from 1 species